rnacentral:rRNA from 1 species
UUAAAAUGAGAGUUUGAUCCUGGCUCAGGAUGAACGCUGGCGGCGUGCCUAAUACAUGCAAGUCGAACGCUUUGUCUUUAACUGAUAUGAAGAGCUUGCUCUGAUUUGAUUUUAUCUGACAAAGAGUGGCGAACGGGUGAGUAACACGUGGGUAACCUACCUCUUAGCAGGGGAUAACAUUUGGAAACAAGUGCUAAUACCGUAUAAUACCAACAACC